GCUGCAACUCGCCUGCACGAAGUCGGAAUUGCUAGUAAUCGCGGAUCAGAAUGCCGCGGUGAAUACGUUCCCGGGCCUUGUACACACCGCCCGUCACACCAUGGGAGUCGGUAACACCCGAAGUCGGUGGUCUAACCGCAAGGAGGACGCCGCCGAAGGUGGGAUUGAUGACUGGGGUGAAGUCGUAACAAGGUAUC
rnacentral:rRNA from 1 species